AUACAUUUGCAUCUAGCGUAGGAAGUGCGCAAAGUUACGCCUUUAUAGAUAUGAUGCGUGAGAGCUUGUAAGGAAUGCGUUGGAUUUCAAACUUUGUAAAAUCCA
rnacentral:sRNA from 17 species